rnacentral:piRNA from 1 species
UGGUCAGAACAUUGGCAGACACACAGG